UACGAAGGGGGCUAGCGUUGCUCGGAAUCACUGGGCGUAAAGCGCACGUAGGCGGAUUGUUAAGUCAGGGGUGAAAUCCUGGAGCUCAACUCCAGAACUGCCUUUGAUACUGGCGAUCUCGAGUCCGGGAGAGGUGAGUGGAACUGCGAGUGUAGAGGUGAAAUUCGUAGAUAUUCGCAAGAACACCAGUGGCGAAGGCGGCUCGCUGGACCGGUUCUGACGCUGAGGCGCGAAAGCGUGGGGAGCAAACAGG
rnacentral:rRNA from 1 species